rnacentral:lncRNA from 1 species
ACUUUAUUUAGCGUUCAUGUAAACACUACAAUCAGAUUCAUCAAUCGUAAAAAAAAUUCAGUCCGAUUGAACCAAAAAGUGUGCAUGUAAAUGUAGCCACUGACUCAUCAUCUCCGGAGUAGUGAUGCACCUUGUUUCAUACAGAUAACAUAAUCUGACAAUAUUUGUUUUCCAUUUAAAUUGGUUCAUUUGAAACUAGACAUUUCACUCUCUAUAGAUAUAUUUCUUUUAUAUAUUGUUUUCAUAAAACACAAAAAAAUCUGUAAAGGCAGGUGCCCUUUUUCCUGACUACACAUUACUGAAGUGUGCUGUACUUGUCCAAAUGCUUUUAUGGUGGCACUGUAUAGUUCAGUAAUGAACUCUGAAAGCCUUGAUCAUGUAGUAGACGUUGCCUCCUGGCUCUUUAGACAGCAUAUGUUCCUCAUCCCCAGCGUUCACACACUUACACACUCCAACUCACCUAUGAGCGCCAUCAGGGGACUGCUUGUGUUUAUGUGUGUGUGCGUGCGUGCGUGUGAGUUCACUGUGGUUAUUUAGAAUACAGACCCAGACAAAUUGACUCGAUGCUUUUUGUAAAGUUAACAAAUUAACGUCUUCAUCGAUGCUCGCUGUGGAAUUGUUGCCUUCGACGAAUUGGUUAUUGGUGUCUUUUGAGCUAGAUCCAAAGAGCGGGUCAUGCACACAGAUGCCGUAAUCUUCCUCAUGUUGCGAGGAAUGUUUUUGUCAUCUUUAAAACUUUUUGUUACUUACUACUUUUCACUGACCGUUUGAAUCAUGACUAGUUGUCUGUUCAAAGCACUGUAGAGGACUGUUAAAGACUUUUAUGGGUUGUUAGUUGGUUUUGAGCCACUGAUGGUGGAAGUGGAAGUGUCCACUCUUUGAAGGCCAGAGGCGGUCAGUGGCUUCAGCCCCGCCGCCCCCCUCCUCCGCUGGGCAGUGGAGAGACGCUCUCUGUGGGCCACGGCUAAUUGUGGAGAGUUCAGGAAGACCAUCAUUAGCACUCAAAGCCACACAUGGCCACCAGAUGUGUGGCCAUAUAGAGACUGCCACGUUUUUCUCUCUCACUCUUGCUCUGUCACUUUCUCUCGCUCUCACAUGCCUCCCCCCUCAUCUUCCAACUUAAUAAUCUGCCUUUUGUUUCCAUGCAGGCUAUUGUUCAUUAAGAUGGCCUCUGCCUUGUAAGAGAAGUCACUGGGUACUGAAUAGCAUUCUUUGUAACAAAGAGACGUGAGAGAGGGGUAUAGGGCGGAGGGGGGCAUCUAGGGGGAUUUUGUGUGUCCCUCUGGUAUUUUUAUGGCUUGUUUGUGCAUUCUGAGAAUUGGACAUUGUAGUUUGCGAGAGAGAGAGAGAGAAAGAGAGACAUGGUACCUUUCCCUGUUUGUUGACUGUACAGUCAUGCUAGACACUUUAGGGCCUUUAAAACUAGUCCGUUUGAACAAAUUCAUGAUCCUAAGUAUUAAACCUCUCACUAAAUUCAUCAUACAGACAUGAAUGAUUUCUCAUAUAAUGCAGAGUGUGAGGUGUGAUCAGAAAUACAAUUAUCACCCAGUGGGCAAACUGAGUCAUUUCCAGGGACUAAAAUAUCAUAUCAGGCUGGUUUGGACCAGUUUUAUUACAGAUUUAAAUUUUAAUACAUUAUUUAUUUUUCAAUUAUUUUCUUAUAAUUUUGCAUAAAUUAUUUUAAUUUUAUUAUUUUAAUAUAAUUUUAUAUUUUAUUGUAUUAUAAUUGUUUUAAUUAUUUGUUUAUUUUUAUUUUUUCAUUUUCAAUUUGUCAUUCAAAUUUGUGUUUUUUUUUUUUUUCAUGAGUUUUCUAGUUUCAGUUAAUUUAGAUUUUAUUUUAUAUUUGGGUUUAUAGAAUAUAAUAUUUAGUUAAAUAUUUUAGGGAUGGCAAAGUUAGCUUUAUUUAAUUCUUUAAUUUUUAAAUUUCAUAUCAUUAUUAUUUAAUUUGUUUAAUCUUCAUCAUAUUUAAUGCAGGCAGGAUAUAUUUCUUUGUAUUAUACAAUUUUUGUAUAAAAAAAAAAUAGAAGAAACCAUAUUCUUCCCCGACCCAUUCUUCGGAGUGUUCUGCUCCAGUGUCAGAGUGGCAGCGGUUGCCAUGGCGCUAUUUACAAACACUUCUCCCUCCCUUUAGCCUUUCUUCCCCUCAAGCGGAGGGGCUGGUGGGGAGGUGAGUACAAUCGAUUCACAAUCGAACCGACAUUACUCUGUUUGGAAGCUAAUGCACUUUCGACUGAACUGGAAGAAAGAUGAGGGGAGAAGGAAGGGGGAAAAAAUGCACACAAUAAAACCUAGUGGAGAGUGUGUUACGGCUACUACUAUUAAUUUUAAUGACGAGGCGAGAUAUUAUUUCUUGUAUUAAACUAAUUUUAGUAUAAAAAAAAAUAGAAGAAACCAUAUUCUUCCCCGACCCAUUCUUCGGAGUGUUCUGCUCCAGUGUCAGAGUGGCAGCGGUUGCCAUGGCGCUAUUUACAAACACUUCUCCCUCCCUUUAGCCUUUCUUCCCCUCAAGCGGAGGGGCUGGUGGGGAGGUGAGUACAAUCGAUUCACAAUCGAACCGACAUUACUCUGUUUGGAAGCUAAUGCACUUUCGACUGAACUGGAAGAAAGAUGAGGGGAGAAGGAAGGGGGAAAAAAUGCACACAAUAAAAACCUGUGGGAGAGUGUGUUACGGCGAGGAAAAGAAAGGGUUGUAUUGAGGCGGAAAACAUGUUCUCUGGGAAGAAAUCAAUUAAAACGAACCUUUAAAUUACGCCGCAUGGCCGCGCCACGUCUGUAAGGGGCCGGGGCACUGCUGUGGUCUGAGCGGGCGUCGAGCUGCGAGGGCCCACAACCACUACUGCACUGAACUCUCUUCUGUGUGGGGUUCGCUUGGUUUGCCGCCAAAUCCUCAUUGCAUAUGGAAGACAGUCCAAUUUCGGUUCAAUUCAAUUGUAUGCAUAAGGAGUCUUUCACAAUGGCCAUUGUUACCAAGCAGAUUAACAGAAUUGUAUGGAGGUGUCGUGCUCACAUAUAAAACAGUCUCAAUUGAAUAUGUAUGUCUCAGAAAACGAGCCCUCCUGCACGCUAAAUCCAUAGCUAAGAAGCCUGCUUUGAGUUGUUGAUGGGUAGUUGACUUGAAAAUGA